CUCAUCAGCUCAUCGACGACUAAAUCGCCCACUUCAAGGUCCCAGCUGCACCAAACAGGUGCACGCACCAUUACAGAUUGCAAGCCGUUCUCUUUAAGCUACAUGGAAUGUUCCAUGAGGUCCCAGCAACAAAAAUUGCAAGCCGCUCUCUUCAAGCCGCGUGGAGUGCUCUCUGAGGUGAGCAAUGAUUUCUGGUGGUCCAUGGUACAUGCCCUUCUGGGGCUUUAUGUAAUACUGACGUUGUCUUUGUUAUUUUCUGGUAUAUGGCAAGCUGCAUUAACUUUCUCGC